rnacentral:rRNA from 1 species
GACGAACGCUGGCGGCGUGCUUAACACAUGCAAGUCGAACGGAAAGGCCCUGCUUUUGUGGGGUGCUCGAGUGGCGAACGGGUGAGUAACACGUGAGUAACCUGCCCUUGACUUUGGGAUAACUUCAGGAAACUGGGGCUAAUACCGGAUAGGAGCUCCUGCUGCAUGGUGGGGGUUGGAAAGUUUCGGCGGUUGGGGAUGGACUCGCGGCUUAUCAGCUUGUUGGUGGGGUAGUGGCUUACCAAGGCUUUGACGGGUAGCCGGCCUGAGAGGGUGACCGGCCACAUUGGGACUGCGAUACGGCGCAGACUCCUACGGGAGGCAGCAGUGGGGAAUAUUGCACAGUGGGCGGAAGCCUGAUGCAGCAACGCCGCGUGCGGGAUGACGGCCUUCGGGUUGUAAACCGCUUUCGCCUGUGACGAAGCGUGAGUGACGGUAAUGGGUAAAGAAGCACCGGCUAACUACGUG